GUUUUAAUUGUGGUUUCUGUCCUUUUUGAAUUCCGGGAAUACUAUAGUCACUGCGUGUUGGUUUCAGUUGGCGCGAUCGGAAAUUGUCGUCGCUGCCGCUUGAGGUGGCUGCCGGGCUGCCGUUGAACCGGUUCGAAGACCGCCGCUGUUCCGGUUCAGUCGUUCCUUCUUCGUUCGUGUUGCUGUGGUUACCGCGAGAGUGGCUUGGAGCCGAGGUUGCGAUUGUUGGCGAUUUCGGUUUAAGAGAGGAGAUUCCGGUGACGCGUUUGGGUUAUGGUUUGCGUUUUGAGGAUAUGGGCGCAGAAGUCACGAGGAGUUUAUUUAGUUGUUGAAAUGUUCUGUAUUACUUUAGAUUAUUACUUGUUGUACCCUCGCCAUUAUCUUGAUAUAUUCUGUAAGAGGGAUAGGCAUUGUAUUGGUUAAUGCUUGUAAUGUUAUUUAUAUAUAUAUAUAUGUAUA